rnacentral:rRNA from 1 species
AGCGAACGCUGGCGGCAGGCCUAAUACAUGCAAGUCGAGCGAACCUUCGGGUUAGCGGCGGACGGGUUAGUAACGCGUGGGAACGUGCCCAAAGGUACGGAAUAGCCUCGGGAAACUGAGAGUAAUACCGUAUGUGCCCCUCGGGGGUAAGAUUUAUCGCCUUUGGAUCGGCCCGCGUUGGAUUAGGUAGUUGGUGGGGUAACGGCCUACCAAUCCGACGAUCCAUAGCUGGUUUGAGAGGAUGAUCAGCAACACUGGGACUGAGACACGGCCCAGACUCCUACGGGAGGCAGCAGUGGGGAAUCUUAGACAAUGGGGGAAACCCUGAUCUAGCCAUGCCGCGUGAGCGAUGAAGGCCUUAGGGUUGUAAAGCUCUUUCAGCUGGGAAGAUAAUGACGGUACCAGCAGAAGAAGCCCCGGCUAACUCCGUGCCAGCCGCCGCGGUAAUAC